GAUGAACGCUGGCGGCGUGCCUAAUACAUGCAAGUCGAGCGAACAGACGAGGAGCUUGCUCCUCUGACGUUAGCGGCGGACGGGUGAGUAACACGUGGAUAACCUACCUAUAAGACUGGGAUAACUUCGGGAAACCGGAGCUAAUACCGGAUAAUAUAUUGAACCGCAUGGUUCAAUAGUGAAAGACGGUUUUGCUGUCACUUAUAGAUGGAUCCGCGCCGCAUUAGCUAGUUGGUAAGGUAACGGCUUACCAAGGCGACGAUGCGUAGCCGACCUGAGAGGGUGAUCGGCCACACUGGAACUGAGACACGGUCCAGACUCCUACGGGAGGCAGCAGUAGGGAAUCUUCCGCAAUGGGCGAAAGCCUGACGGAGCAACGCCGCGUGAGUGAUGAAGGUCUUCGGAUCGUAAAACUCUGUUAUUAGGGAAGAACAAAUGUGUAAGUAACUAUGCACGUCUUGACGGUACCUAAUCAGAAAGCCACGGAUAACUACGU
rnacentral:rRNA from 1 species